rnacentral:rRNA from 1 species
AUGCAGUCGAGGGGCAGCAUGAUUGAAGCUUGCUUCAAUUGAUGGCGACCGGCGCACGGGUGAGUAACGCGUAUCCAACCUUCCGUACACUCAGGGAUAGCCUUUCGAAAGAAAGAUUAAUACCUGAUGGUAUGAUGAGAUUGCAUGAUAGCAUCAUUAAAGAUUUAUCGGUGUACGAUGGGGAUGCGUUCCAUUAGGUAGUAGGCGGGGUAACGGCCCACCUAGCCUACGAUGGAUAGGGGUUCUGAGAGGAAGGUCCCCCACAUUGGAACUGAGACACGGUCCAAACUCCUACGGGAGGCAGCAGUGAGGAAUAUUGGUCAAUGGACGAGAGUCUGAACCAGCCAAGUAGCGUGAAGGAUGAAGGUCUUACGGAUUGUAAACUUCUUUUAUAAGGGAAUAAAACCUCCCACGUGUGGGAGCUUGUAUGUACCUUAUGAAUAAGCAUCGGCUAACUCCGUGCCAGCAGCCGCGGUAAUACGGAGGAUGCGAGCGUUAUCCGGAUUUAUUGGGUUUAAAGGGAGCGCAGACGGGUCGUUAAGUCAGCUGUGAAAGUUUGGGGCUCAACCUUAAAAUUGCAGUUGAUACUGGCGUCCUUGAGUGCGGUUGAGGUGUGCGGAAUUCGUGGUGUAGCGGUGAAAUGCUUAGAUAUCACGAAGAACUCCGAUUGCGAAGGCAGCACACUAAGCCGUAACUGACGUUCAUGCUCGAAAGUGUGGGUAUCAAACAGGAUUAGAUACCCUGGUAGUCCACACGGUAAACGAUGGAUACUCGCUGUUGGCGAUAUACGGUCAGCGGCUUAGCGAAAGCGUUAAGUAUCCCACCUGGGGAGUAC